UGGCGGGCAGUCAUAGAUCCCCUGAGUCCACGCACAUAUUCUGCUCCUCUACAUUUCAUUAUUACUAAGUAUUACUAAUGAUGAAGCAAAUAAUAUAAUUGUUUUUCAUAUGAUAUCGUCGGAAACCGCUUAACAAGUGUUAUGGUGAUUGGAAGUGUAUGGUGCAGUCAUAACCGAUAGGAUACGUCCGUUAUAACCUCAAAUAUAUAUACAACAAUUCGGAGCAAUGCACCAUAAUUACAAUUCUAUCAAGUUCUUUAGAACUAAGUGAUUCCGUCUCUACUCAUAAUAAUGCAUGGAGAACGAAAAUCUCAACAAAUGCAGCUUAAUUGGAAUCAGCAGAACAGGAUUUCAACAGUAAUGUUCUGUACCAUUGAGCUUGCAGAGAAUUUUUGGUCAAUGAGCCAAAAACGACACACCAGACACUGGAUCUAUCCUCAUCCAAAACUAAUCACCCACAACGAUUGAAGAUGUGGUUUUAAUGAAGGCCUUCAUAGUAUUAUACUCCACGGAAGUGUAGAAACAAUGUAUCAAGUUGGCGACAAUUUCUUGAUUACAUCUCCAGAACCUGGCAACGAUGAUUCUGAACCACGAGAGAGGGACAUUUCUGGAUACGUCAUGUCUCAUACGCACUUAUUUUCAAAAUACUAUCAUCACUAAUAAAAAAUGAGAGAAUUCAGACUCAAGUGUUGUCUUGAAACUUAGCAAUAUCAUGCGCAUUUGUACAGAUCAGAUUGUACUUUUCUGGUUGAAGUGAUAAAAUAAUUUAAGUGGCAGUGCUCAACAAUCAUCUGAGAAUGCUGUUAAGGCUGGGAGACACGCUUAGCAAUGAAAUCAUCAUGGAUGACAAAAUGUGCCUUCAUAAUCUGGAAAUCAUGAAGGGAGACGCCAUGGAAACUAUUGGUUUAUUGCUACGUCUGAAAGCAUCUCCUGGUUCAAGGAUGAAUGGGAAUAUAAGAAGGAGUACAUGCUUCAUCAAAAUGAACAGAAGCUACGAGACCUGGAGCACGAAUACAUGGCUCGUUGUCACUUGUUUCUUCGUUUCAAUCCAGAAGGACGGACCGCCUAUAAGGACAACAAACGAAACUCAGACGAUGUAUAUUGGUUAAAGACAUUGGUUCCUCAGAGAUGCGAUCUAAUCGGAAAGUCGACUAAACAAGCUAGUGGAGUAGUCGAGACAAAAUUAAAAUUCGUUGUCAAAAAUCAAAGAAAACAUUUCGAAUUAUUUUAUUGAUUUAUUUGCUUAUUUUAUUGGAGUCAUUCAUAAGUUUUAAGAAAUCUAAUGUUCAUUUCGUUCAUCAAUUCCUCAAUUUAUUAUUUUAAUUUUGUCAUUCUUAUUGCGUGACAUUUUUGGUAAUUUGGUAAUUAAGUAAUUUGGUAAUUGAGGAAUUAAUUAGAAGCAACUGAAAAAAUCACUUUGAAUUCUGUAUUACUUUCAUUGAAUUAUGUUAAUAAACAUUUACCAAAUUUUUAUCAAAUAAUUUUUGUCUUCAUUCUCAUAUUUUGCUCACUUUUCU